rnacentral:rRNA from 1 species
AUGCCGCCUAGGAAGAAGCCCAAGAGUGCGCCGCCGGUGACGGACCACAUCAGCGCCCUCCCCGACAACAUGCUCCACCACGUGCUCUCCUUCCUCCCGGUUCAGGCGGCCGUGCGGACGUGCGCGCUCGCCCGGCGCUGGCGCCACCUCUGGAGGUCCACCACCGGCCUGCGCAUCGUUAGGUUCGACGACAAGAAGCACCUCCAGCACCUCCGCAACUUCAUGCACCACCUGCUGGUCCUGCGUGAGCGCACCGAUCUAGACACCGUCGAGAUCAAGCUCGGUGUGUUCGUGGAAGAAGACCAGACCCACGUGAACCUAUGGACCCGCUUCGCCGUGAUGUGCAGAGCCCGGGCGCUCACCCUCCAUGUCAACCCCCCUCUGCGCCUCUACCUGGACGACCUGCCUCUCGUCUCUCGGCAUCUCAGAACGUUGGACCUUCACGAUGUGGACCUACCAAAGAGUUUCAUUGAUUUCGCUGGCUGCCCAGCGUUGGAGGGGUCUGAAGAUGAAUCUCUGCAGCGUCAGCGUCGGCAGGAUAUCGUCGUGCUCCCUGAGGAAUCUGAGCAUCACCGGCUGCCACUUCGGCUUGGGUCGCCAGGUGAUCGUCUCUGCUCCGGGCCUCGUCUCGCUGACCCUGAAACUAGUCGGCUUGUCGGGCACUAA